rnacentral:misc_RNA from 1 species
AUUGAUCAUCCAAAAGAAAAAUGGCCGCAUUUUCUCGAAAAUAACGCCAUUUUUUGCCACUGUGAACUGUCUUGUACUGUUGUAUUAAUUUUAAAAAUGUUAUUGCCUUUUUUCUUCGGAAAAGAGAUAAUGAAAGA